rnacentral:rRNA from 1 species
UACGAAGGGGACUAGCGUUGUUCGGAUUUACUGGGCGUAAAGCGCGCGUAGGCGGAUCGCUAAGUCAGGGGUGAAAUCCCAGGGCUCAACCCUGGAACUGCCUUUGAUACUGACGGUCUGGAGAUCGGGAGAGGUUGGUGGAAUUCCGAGUGUAGAGGUGAAAUUCGUAGAUAUACGGAGGAAUACCGGUGGCGAAGGCGGCCUUCUGGACCAUUUCUGACGCUGAGACGCAAAGCGUGGGGAGCAAACAGG